rnacentral:rRNA from 1 species
GAUGAACGCUAGCUACAGGCUUAACACAUGCAAGUCGAGGGGAAACGAUAGGGAAAGCUUGCUUUUUCUAGGCGUCGACCGGCGCACGGGUGAGUAACGCGUAUCCAACCUGCCCACCACUUGGGGAUAACCUUGCGAAAGUAAGACUAAUACCCAAUGACGUCUCUAGAAGACAUCUGAAAGGGAUUAAAGAUUUAUCGGUAAGAGAUGGCUCCGCGUCUGAUUAGCCAGUUGGCGGGUAACGGCCCACCAAAGCGACGAUCAGUAGCCGGCCUGAGAGGGUGAACGGCCACAUUGGGACUGAGAUACGGCCCAGACUCCUACGGGAGGCAGCAGUGGGGAAUAUUGCACAAUGGGGGGAACCCUGAUGCAGCGACGCCGCGUGGAGGAAGAAGGUCUUCGGAUUGUAAACUCCUGUUGUUAGGGACGAUAAUGACGGUACCUAACAAGGAAGCAACCGGGCUAACUACGUG